rnacentral:rRNA from 1 species
UACGGGGGGGGCAAACGUUGUUCGGAAUUACUGGGCGUAAAGGGCUCGUAGGUGGCCAACUAAGUCCGACGUGAAAUCCCUCGGCUUAACCGGGGAACUGCGUCUGAUACUGGAUGGCUUGAGUUUGGGAGAGGGAUGCGGAAUUCCAGGUGUAGCGGUGAAAUGCGUAGAUAUCUGGAGGAACACCGGUGGCGAAGGCGGCAUCCUGGACCAAUACUGACGCUGAGGAGCGAAAGCCAGGGGAGCAAACGGG